UGGCUGAGGAGCAUGUUAGUCUCCUGAAGGCAUUUUAAGCCACCUGUCGCCCAGACCCUGUAGGCCCGGUUAAGCUAAGCUCACCACAGGGAUGAGACUGGAAGCCAAUAUCCUGAGUUACCUUAAACAUCCAGUCAUUGCAUGAGCGGGAGCCAGAUCUGGGUUUCAUUAUAUACUGCAUUGUCAAGUGUCCUGCUAGACAGACAGGGUGGUGGACUGUGGGCGCCCCUUCACUGCGUGUGUGUGUGUGUGUGUGUGUGUGUGUGUGUGCGCGCGCUCCAGUGUGAGUGUGGUGGUGUCCGGGCCUUUUGGGAGCACCCAGGUAACUCCCCUACAUGUCUGGCUCUUGUAGUAACGGUUGUGCUUUUUUUUUUCUCCUUUUUAGCGUUUGUGCCCUAUUGGCAUUUUUGUCCUCGUAACAGCCCUAGUACCGUUGGCAUAACAUCUACCCUAUUGCUCGAGCUCUUAUCGUGUUUCAUGAAUA